UUGACCUCGAAUCAGGUAGGACUACCCGCUGAACU
rnacentral:rRNA from 2 species